GAUGAAGAACGUAGCGAAAUGCGAUAAGUAGUGUGAAUUGCAGAAUUCAGUGAAUCAUCGAAUCUUUGAACGCACAUUGUGCCCCUUGGUAUUCCAUGGGGCAUGCCUGUUCGAGCGUCAUUUGUACCUUCAAGCUCUGCUUGGUGUUGGGUGUUUGUCUCGCCUCUGCGUGUAGACUCGCCUCAAAACAAUUGGCAGCCGGCGUAUCGAUUUCGGAGCGCAGUACAUCUCGCGCUUUGCACUCAUAACGACGACGUCCAAAAGUACAUUUUUACACUCUUGACCUCGGAUCAGGUAGGGAUACCCGCUGAACUUAAGCAUAUCAAUAAGCGGAGGA
rnacentral:misc_RNA from 1 species